GGGCCCGUAGCUUAGCUGGUAGAGCGCUGGUCUUAUACACCAGUGGUCGGGAGUUCGAGUCUCCUCGGGCCCA
rnacentral:tRNA from 1 species